rnacentral:rRNA from 1 species
GAGGGGCAGCACAGGUAGCAAUACUGGGUGGCGACCGGCAAACGGGUGCGGAACACGUACGCAAUCUACCGUUAUCUGGGGCAUAGCCCGGAGAAAUCCGGAUUAACUCCCCAUAACAUAAUUGGGUGGCAUCACUUGGUUAUUAAAAAUUUAUUGGAUAAUGAUGAGCGUGCGUCCCAUUAGCUAGUUGGUAGGGUAACGGCCUACCAAGGCGACGAUGGGUAGCUGGUGUGAGAGCACGACCAGCCACACGGGCACUGAGACACGGGCCCGACUCCUACGGGAGGCAGCAGUGAGGAAUAUUGGUCAAUGGACGCAAGUAUGAACCAGCCAUGCCGCGUGAAGGAUGAAGGCCUUCUGGGUUGUAAACUUAUUUUAUGAGGGAAGAAAACUACGGUUUAUACUGUAGCCGACGGUACCUUAGGAAUAAGCACCGGCUAACUCCGUG